GCAAUUCACAACCCAAACAAACCCCAGGCAACUAAUUAUGUCAGGUUGACUCUGUCAGCUUAUCGUGGAGGAAAAACAGAGGAGAAAAUGUUGACCGCGGAGGCUGACAUCUUUGGAGUGUAACUCCAGACAAUAUGAUGGAGCCCCGGUGCUGUCUGUUGUGGCCUGGUUGUGGAUCCUGUCUACUACGGUGCACAAGUCCAGAGAGGUUUGAGGAAACUCGGUCAUAUAUUCUAUGGAGGCGGCCCACAGAGUAAUUCAUAAACCAACUCUGAGGAGCUUGUUAAAGAGUCCUGGUACAAAAGCCUGGAAGGGAGAAGAUACUUGAAGAAUACGCAAUUAAAGGAAAGAUGAAGGACCGAACAUGCCGUGAUCUCGUCAACAGUGGUUCGCUGUUAUGGUGGAAUAAUAUGGCUCUGCUCGGAGAUCUCACCUCAGGGCUGGAAACUGAGACAAGGAAACAUGCACAGCAAGGGAGCCUGCUCAGCGAGCCAGACUUCCAGAGAAUCCUACUGUAUGGAUACAGGAAGCUGGACAGACUAAGAAGGCUGCUCUGCAGAGACUAUGCCACGUUCACACCACAUCUCAGCAGUCAGUGACUGGCAUCGCUGUCUGAAAUGAUGCCAGGCUUUUGUUUCCCCCCUGUAAUUACCCCAAUGUUGUUAAUGAAGAAAAACAGGAAAAGCAUUAUCCCAGCAGGAGGUCUCUUCUGCUUUGAACACCCCAUCCCUUUUCUAAACAUCAAUUUAAGUUACACAGCUGAUAAAGACUUUUUCACCUACAACAACACUUUCAAAGUGAUCACUCUAUCUGAUAAACAUCAGAUUUGGGUGGCGUAGAUGUUCGAAAACAUCUCAUCCCCAACUCUUUGAAUAAUAUGUGCACUUUGUGUGCUCUAUCAAAUCUAAAUGCAUAUAUUUACACUUAAACCAAAACCACUCAACUUUCCAUGUUUGCCCAAAGCAAUAAAAUUGCAUUCUGUAUUAAAGCCAUACAACCAACAUCUUGUCAGAACCGUCCCAUAUUCAAAAUCUUGGCCACAGUUGAAUUAUGCAGUCAUGCUUCCUUUCCUGUUGAAGCAGGCCAGGACAAAUUGAAAUUAUGAGCAGGCAGUGGAAGAAAGCAGAGAGGUUUCCAUAGCACAUCAGGCUAAUCAGAGGGGAUAAAGUCAUGAGGAAAAUGUGUUUGUUUGUGCGAACAAAUCCUGUAUGCAAAUCAAAAAUGUAGCAUUGAGGUGCAAUUACAGUCAUGAUUUUGCAUAGGCAUAAAUUCAAAAACCUGUUACUGAGAAUCAUAGUUUUAGAGGAGAGGUGCUGUGCUGCUCCGUCUAGUCAGUCUGUGCUGGCAGCAUCCUCUUUUCUCACCGUAAUGUUCUCAGCUCCAAUUUUGUUUGAAAUAGACUGAGACAAGUCUAUCUAGCAAUGUCUGAAUUUGAACUGCACCAUUCACUCUAACUGAAGAAAGAAAAAAGUGAGUGUGCUACAGAUUCUUCAAAGCAUUGUUCCAUUAAACUGAGAGCAAAGGAGGAACAUGAUGCUGUUACAUUUUACUAGUCUUAAAGCCAUUUACAGUGAGGAAAUAUAAGGUUUCUCACCCUAAUUGCUGAUAAAAAUUUACAUCAAUUGGAAAAAGUGAACACGCACCAAAGAAAGACAGAUUAACACGUCAAAUUUCUUAUUUCACCUCAUUCCAGCUGCGGUACUUCAUAAAUGGACCAUUUCCUUGCCAACAAAGUUUUCUGAGAAACACCAGACACGGAUGUUGUUGUCAUCUACUCCCCAUUUCUAUUUGGGACUACACAAACCAACUGGCCAUUAUCAGACGUCUCUAUGAAAUCAUAUGCUGCUGGGAUUCUUGAUGUGCCCCUUGGGGCAAAUGUCGUACCACUUAUUACACAGCACGUAACCCAAAAAGGCUCUUGGUGAUCCGCAAUGAUCCGUGGCGUCAUGGCUGCCAGUGACAGUCAAACUGAGCUCACAUAAGACCACACAAACACAAACACAAAGGGAUCUAUUUAAACCAGCACGGGGAUGCCAAGCUCACAGUGAAAGCAGAUGGAUACUGUUAUAUCAAAUUGGAAACGAUUACAGCACCACCUCAUAAAGAACAAUGUCAAAAACAUGCCGUUCACAUAUAUAAUUACAAAAAAUGUCAGGUUUUAGAGUAUUGAUUUUUCCCUUACCCCAGUCAGACAAACACAAUGCCUUGUGAUGUCUUUGGGUGCAGUUUAAAUACCAGUUUAAUUAUGAAAUUAGUGCAACCUAUUGACAAGUUGCUGUUGAUUUGUGUUAACUUUAUUGACUCGACGACAGGAGUGAUUAACUGAGCUGUUGACACAAGCAUGUGAGCAGAAUGUUCAUUGAAAACUGAAUGGGAGCAAAUUCCAGUCCUUUGUUUUGAUACAAAAAGUACCAAAAUAAGUCUUGACCCGUCCCUGCCAGAUUUUUCAGCCCAAGAAGACAAAGAAGUGUGAUUUUAAAGACCACAACAGACAUUCCUGUUGAAUUUCUGUAGGAUCUAGUUUCCUGAUAUUUUGCACAUUAAUGAUUAUGGAAUAUAAUCAUUAUUUAAAAGGCAUCUCCUAUCAGACUUCACCUAAAUUAAAAGUAUUAAUGUGUGUUUCCAGUUUCCACAAUGAAGUCUGAUUGAUUGUCACGUCAAAUCCUCCUCUCAUUUCCUUGCAUGCAAAAAGACAUGCAACAACAAAAAACAGAUCUAAGAGGAAGAGAAGAAAAGGGUAGCCACAAUGAAGCUUGCUUUUCAAAGCGGAUGAAAAAGCCAGUUGGGGUAUGAUAUGCAUGUAUACUUUUGUCUGACCUAAUUGAAAGCAGACACUUGUCUUCACUACAUCCAUCCCCAUCAUCAGUGUCUUAAGUAAUGUCGAUAUUUGAGCACUGAGGAGGUUAGACCCAUCAUGUGUUUAUCAUGAUCAGGAGUUGUGCAAGAGAACUGAAUUCAUGUCCAUGCCGUCAGAAAUCUGCCCACCUACAGCGAAUGCCAAAAGCUGCAAAGUUUAAGUUAAUAUUUUCACAAAGUCUCUAAAGUGUAUUUAAAGGCAUAUUGUAAAUUCUCAGUUGAUACUAACAUCCAGCUGGGCCAAAUGUGGGCUCUCCUGCUAAUUAAAUAUCGUAUCAGACACUUUGAUGGUGAGCGACGUUACUCGGAGGAGUGGUGAAUAACAGGGCUCGCUGCUGUCUUUAUGGGUCACUGUGGAGGUUAGGGGGGGAAUGUAGAGCGGGAGCAGAGGGCUGUCUGUCGCUCUGCCAGCCAAGCCACAGCUGGCCAGAUUACAAGAGUCUGGAUUAGAGGCCAGGGGUUGGGGCAGGGAUGUGGUUUCCAUUGAUGUAUAGAAACUCAAACACACAGGGCACACAUUAUUAAAGCAUCAGUGUCAACAUCGAGACACGCAAGAGCACGAAACUGCCAACGCAUUCACGUAGUGUUAAACUACAAUCCAACCCAUUUCUUUCAAGCAGCGAUUUAUUCUUUGAAUUUCGUUUUAUGUGGCCACUUUGUUGGGACAUCAUCCAUAGGCAUCACGUGUCCGUGGCCUGACAUCUACAUCUAUAAAAAAACAGGACAUUUUUGACUUUGCAUUGGCAAACCAUUGUCUCUAGAUAGAUAAUAGCUUCUCGUAAAGCAUAGGCAGCAUAAAUGGGAGGAUGAAAACAAUCUGCAGAGCACACUGAGCCUCUGGCAGGGAAUGACCUAACCAAAUCACGUCAUCCCAAAACUUAUAGCUGUUAUUCAAGAGCGGCUACAUACCAAAGCAGGGUAGAGAGAAAAAUGUAUGUAUACUGAUGUAUAGAAACACUCAAUCAAUACCGUCAUUCCAUUGGAAUUUGUCAUAUGAAGCUAGACAAAAAGAAGGAUACUUACGAAUAUGAUGCACAGAACACAAGUUGUAAAAAAUAAUAAUACAAAUUGUAAUAAACUGACUUCUUUCAUCCAGAACACAAAGACACCAAAAUAUUAGGGUAGGUUACUCUUGAUAUGUAACAUCUAGGCUCUGGCCUUAUUAUUUCCAGCACCAUAAUACGUGAAGCUCAAUAAUAUCAUAAUACAUUCAAGCAUAAUUAAAAGGCAAACACUAUUAUUAUCACAAGAACUCCCCAAAAAACAAGCCAUGAUAUUUAACACCGAGAGCACAAAGAGCCAAUUGGGCGACAGGAAUGAACCCUUCUAAACAACAUCAACGAUCAAAGGUAAAAUAUGCCAGAAAACCAAUGCUGCCUGUAUCACCCACAACACACGAUGUAAAUAUCUAUUAUACAGCAUAACAGUAUGAAAGCGGGCCAAUGCACCCAACAGACAACAACUGAAAAGAAACAAGGCUUCAAAGAAUCAAUCCACAGUCAAUACAAACACAAAUAUAUGCACAAGUAGAUGUGAGUUGAAAAAAAAAAAGCAACCAGAAACUGGGCAACAACAGUUGGCUAAUGAGCAAAGCUAGCUGAGCAACAACUUCAUCGUUUUUGCAACAGCAGUAGCACAAACA